UACAGAGGGGGCAAGCGUUAUUCGGAAUUAUUGGGCGUAAAGGGCGCGUAGGCGGCCUGGCAAGUGGAAGGUGAAAUCCCUCGGCUUAACCGAGGAACUGCCCUCCAAACUGCUUGGCUUGAGUCCGGGAGAGGUGAGUGGAAUUCCCAGUGUAGCGGUGAAAUGCGUAGAUAUUGGGAGGAACACCAGUGGCGAAGGCGGCUCACUGGACCGGAACUGACGCUGAGGCGCGAAAGCGCGGGGAGCAAACGGG
rnacentral:rRNA from 1 species